ACGAGUAGAGGUGCCCUGGCGACUUGCUUGAACGUCCUCCUUUGGCUGUGUAACCUGUGUCCGGCCAACUCUGUUAUGCGCCUAAAGAUGAGAGAUGCAAACGGGAAGCCCUGCGUCCAGGGCAACAGGCACUUGUCUGAGCGCCUACGGCCACUCAAAUGCAAAGUUCCUGGAGUUGCAGUUUGAGAGAUGAGCCGCCAGUAGGCCUGAAGGACCAAACAAUCCCACUGUGUGAACAAACUCCAUUUCUCUGGAAACCAGCUUUAGAUUGGUAACUGUGAGGAAGCCAAAUCGGAUCCGAGAGUCUUUUUCUAAAGGCCAGUACUGGCCACACUUUCUUCUGCCACCUUCCUCAAAGCUGAAAAGACACAGGGUAAGUGAAAGUAUCUACAACCAGAAAAAUGGUCAAAAGUAGCAAAUGGAGAAGAGAGCAAAGAGGAACUGGUACUUCAGGAACCAAGAAGAAAGCUUCCUUCUAGAAACAGGAUUUUCUGUCUAAAGGUGAAUUCAACAGAUUGAAGGUGAAUUGCUCCAUGUUUCCCAGUACUUCUUUUACUGGAUAAGGCCAGGACCUCAGAAUAGGUUAGAACUGGCACAGGGUCACCAGAGCCAUGGACUAGCAGGCAUCCUCAAACUACGGCCCACGGGCCACAUGAGGCGGUGUGAUUGUAUUUGUUCCCGUUUUGUUUUUUUACUUCAAAAUAAGA